rnacentral:rRNA from 1 species
GGGUUGUGAGGUUAAGCGACUAAGCGUACACGGUGGAUGCCCUGGCAGUCAGAGGCGAUGAAGGACGUGCUAAUCUGCGAUAAGCGUCGGUAAGGUGAUAUGAACCGUUAUAACCGGCGAUUUCCGAAUGGGGAAACCCAGUGUGUUUCGACACACUAUCAUUAACUGAAUCCAUAGGUUAAUGAGGCGAACCGGGGGAACUGAAACAUCUAAGUACCCCGAGGAAAAGAAAUCAACCGAGAUUCCCCCAGUAGCGGCGAGCGAACGGGGAGGAGCCCAGAGCCUGAAUCAGUGUGUGUGUUAGUGGAAGCGUCUGGAAAGGCGCGCGAUACAGGGUGACAGCCCCGUACACAAAAAUGCACAUGCUGUGAGCUCGAUGAGUAGGGCGGGACACGUGGUAUCCUGUCUGAAUAUGGGGGGACCAUCCUCCAAGGCUAAAUACUCCUGACUGACCGAUAGUGAACCAGUACCGUGAGGGAAAGGCGAAAAGAACCCCGGCGAGGGGAGUGAAAAAGAACCUGAAACCGUGUACGUACAAGCAGUGGGAGCACAGAGCAAUCUGUGUGACUGCGUACCUUUUGUAUAAUGGGUCAGCGACUUAUAUUCUGUAGCAAGGUUAACCGAAUAGGGGAGCCGAAGGGAAACCGAGUCUUAACCGGGCGUUAAGUUGCAGGGUAUAGACCCGAAACCCGGUGAUCUAGCCAUGGGCAGGUUGAAGGUUGGGUAACACUAACUGGAGGACCGAACCGACUAAUGUUGAAAAAUUAGCGGAUGACUUGUGGCUGGGGGUGAAAGGCCAAUCAAACCGGGAGAUAGCUGGUUCUCCCCGAAAGCUAUUUAGGUAGCGCCUCGUGAAUUCAUCUCCGGGGGUAGAGCACUGUUUCGGCAAGGGGGUCAUCCCGACUUACCAACCCGAUGCAAACUGCGAAUACCGGAGAAUGUUAUCACGGGAGACACACGGCGGGUGCUAACGUCCGUCGUGAAGAGGGAAACAACCCAGACCGCCAGCUAAGGUCCCAAAGUCAUGGUUAAGUGGGAAACGAUGUGGGAAGGCCCAGACAGCCAGGAUGUUGGCUUAGAAGCAGCCAUCAUUUAAAGAAAGCGUAAUAGCUCACUGGUCGAGUCGGCCUGCGCGGAAGAUGUAACGGGGCUAAACCAUGCACCGAAGCUGCGGCAGCGACACUGUGUGUUGUUGGGUAGGGGAGCGUUCUGUAAGCCUGUGAAGGUGUGCUGUGAGGCAUGCUGGAGGUAUCAGAAGUGCGAAUGCUGACAUAAGUAACGAUAAAGCGGGUGAAAAGCCCGCUCGCCGGAAGACCAAGGGUUCCUGUCCAACGUUAAUCGGGGCAGGGUGAGUCGACCCCUAAGGCGAGGCCGAAAGGCGUAGUCGAUGGGAAACAGGUUAAUAUUCCUGUACUUGGUGUUACUGCGAAGGGGGGACGGAGAAGGCUAUGUUGGCCGGGCGACGGUUGUCCCGGUUUAAGCGUGUAGGCUGGUUUUCUAGGCAAAUCCGGAAAAUCAAGGCUGAGGCGUGAUGACGAGGCACUACGGUGCUGAAGCAACAAAUGCCCUGCUUCCAGGAAAAGCCUCUAAGCAUCAGGUAACAUCAAAUCGUACCCCAAACCGACACAGGUGGUCAGGUAGAGAAUACCAAGGCGCUUGAGAGAACUCGGGUGAAGGAACUAGGCAAAAUGGUGCCGUAACUUCGGGAGAAGGCACGCUGAUAUGUAGGUGAAGUCCCUCGCGGAUGGAGCUGAAAUCAGUCGAAGAUACCAGCUGGCUGCAACUGUUUAUUAAAAACACAGCACUGUGCAAACACGAAAGUGGACGUAUACGGUGUGACGCCUGCCCGGUGCCGGAAGGUUAAUUGAUGGGGUCAGCGCAAGCGAAGCUCUUGAUCGAAGCCCCGGUAAACGGCGGCCGUAACUAUAACGGUCCUAAGGUAGCGAAAUUCCUUGUCGGGUAAGUUCCGACCUGCACGAAUGGCGUAAUGAUGGCCAGGCUGUCUCCACCCGAGACUCAGUGAAAUUGAACUCGCUGUGAAGAUGCAGUGUACCCGCGGCAAGACGGAAAGACCCCGUGAACCUUUACUAUAGCUUGACACUGAACAUUGAGCCUUGAUGUGUAGGAUAGGUGGGAGGCUUUGAAGUGUGGACGCCAGUCUGCAUGGAGCCGACCUUGAAAUACCACCCUUUAAUGUUUGAUGUUCUAACGUGGACCCGUGAUCCGGGUUGCGGACAGUGUCUGGUGGGUAGUUUGACUGGGGCGGUCUCCUCCUAAAGAGUAACGGAGGAGCACGAAGGUUGGCUAAUCCUGGUCGGACAUCAGGAGGUUAGUGCAAUGGCAUAAGCCAGCUUGACUGCGAGCGUGACGGCGCGAGCAGGUGCGAAAGCAGGUCAUAGUGAUCCGGUGGUUCUGAAUGGAAGGGCCAUCGCUCAACGGAUAAAAGGUACUCCGGGGAUAACAGGCUGAUACCGCCCAAGAGUUCAUAUCGACGGCGGUGUUUGGCACCUCGAUGUCGGCUCAUCACAUCCUGGGGCUGAAGUAGGUCCCAAGGGUAUGGCUGUUCGCCAUUUAAAGUGGUACGCGAGCUGGGUUUAGAACGUCGUGAGACAGUUCGGUCCCUAUCUGCCGUGGGCGCUGGAGAACUGAGGGGGGCUGCUCCUAGUACGAGAGGACCGGAGUGGACGCAUCACUGGUGUUCGGGUUGUCAUGCCAAUGGCACUGCCCGGUAGCUAAAUGCGGAAGAGAUAAGUGCUGAAAGCAUCUAAGCACGAAACUUGCCCCGAGAUGAGUUCUCCCUGACCCUUUAAGGGUCCUGAAGGAACGUUGAAGACGACGACGUUGAUAGGCCGGGUGUGUAAGCGCAGCGAUGCGUUGAGCUAACCGGUACUAAUGAACCGUGAGGCUUAACCUUACAACGCCGAAGGUGUUU